UAAUGACACAAAGUUAGCAAUACAUUGGGAAAAUAGUUAAUAAUAAGAGUUGUGAAAACUAGGGAUGGUAGAGACACCGGCAAGCUGGCAUUAACAUUUACAUAUUUUUGGCCUUGUAGGCUAAAGUGGAUGCAGAGUCUGUGAAUGUGAUGUAGAGUCCCUGUUAUUGUGAAGACCUGAUUCAAUUCCAGUGGUUCUGCAAAGCUACACGAGAAGAGAUUCAAUCUUCUGCUGUUGGAGAUGUUGAAUUUACCCCAAGGACAAAAGCCAGCCAUGAUCAUGACCUGCAGGAUGUUUUACAAGGG